rnacentral:misc_RNA from 2 species
AACGCACCUUGCGCCCUUUGGUAUUCCGAAGGGCAUGCCUGUUUGAGUGUCAUUAAAUUAUCAACCUUGCUCUCGCUUUUACCGGCUUGAGUGAGGCUUGGAUGUGAGGGCUUGCUGGCUUCCUUCAGUGGAUGGUCUGCUCCCUUUAAAUGCAUUAGUGGAAUCCUUUGUGGACCGUCACUUGGUGUGAUAAUUAUCUAUGCCAUCUUGACUUUGAAGCAAAACUUAUGGGAAUCCGCUCAUAACCGUCUUCGGACAAUCAUUGACAUUUUGACCUCAAAUCAGGUAGGACUACCCGCUGAACUUAA